UAACUUGCCUUGGGUCCGGGAUAACCCCUGAGAAAUUGGGGACAAUACCGGAUAGGGCAUCGAUAGCUGGAAUGCGCGAUGUCCAAAAGCUGAGGCGCCCAAGGAUAGGUCUGCGGCCGAUUAGGUUGUUGUUGAUGUAAUGGAUCAACAAGCCUGCAAUCGGUACGGGUUGUGAGAGCAAGAGCCCGGAGAUGGGUUCUGAGAAAAGAACCCAGGUCCUACGGGACGCAUCAGGCGCGAAAACUUUACAAUGUGCGAAAGCACGAUAAGGGAACUCUGAGUGCCUCCUAUGGAGGCUGUUCAGGUGUCUAAAAAGCACUUGAAGUAAGGGCUGGGUAAGACCGGUGCCAGCCGCCGCGGUAACACCGGCAGCCCAAGUGGUAGCCACGAUUAUUGGGUCUAAAGCGUCCGUAGCCGGCCAGGUAAGUUCUUUGGGAAAUUUAACCGCUCAACGGUUAAGCUUUCAGGGAAUACUGCUUGGCUUGGGACCGGGAGAGGUCAGAGGUACUUCAAGGGUAGGGGUGAAAUCCGUUAAUCCUUGAGGGACCACCAGUAGCGAAGGCGUCUGACCAGACCGGGUCCGACGGUGAGGGACGAAGGCUAGGGUCGCGAACCGGAUUAGAUACCCGGGUAGUCCUAGCUGUAAACGAUGCGGGCCAGGUGUUGGCAUUACUGCGAGUGAUGUCAGUGCCGAAGGGAAGCCGUUAAGCCCGCCAUCUGGGGAGUACGGUCGCAAGGCUGAAACUUAA
rnacentral:rRNA from 1 species